rnacentral:snoRNA from 1 species
AUUGCAGCAAUUAUAACUGUGAUAAGUGUGUAACAAGCCUUUUUACAGAACUCAAAGCUGCAAAAGCAAAUUUGAGUACAGGAAAAUUACCCCAAGUCAGCUAUAAAUAAAAUUGUAGUCACGUGGCUUGGGUCUACGUUCCUACGGCUGUACAAUU